rnacentral:rRNA from 1 species
UACGGGGGGGGCAAGCGUUGUUCGGAAUUACUGGGCGUAAAGGGCGUGUAGGUGGCCAACUAAGUCAGACGUGAAAUCCCUCGGCUUAACCGGGGAACUGCGUCUGAUACUGGAUGGCUUGAGUGUGGGAGAGGGAUGCGGAAUUCCAGGUGUAGCGGUGAAAUGCGUAGAUAUCUGGAGGAACACCGGUGGCGAAGGCGGCAUCCUGGACCAAUAUUGACGCUGAGGAGCGAAAGCCAGGGGAGCAAACGGG